AACAAACGCUGGCGGCGUGCCUAACACAUGCAAGUCGAACGCGAAAAUCGGCUUCGGCCGAUGAGUAAAGUGGCGCACGGGUGAGUAACGCGUGGAUAAUCUACCCUUCAGUUGGGAAUAACUUAUCGAAAGGUGAGCUAAUACCGAAUAAAACUGCCUGACCACGGUCGGGUAGUCAAAGAUAGCCUCUGCUUGCAAGCUUUCGCUGAAUGAUGAGUCCGCGUACCAUUAGCUAGUUGGUGGGGUAAUGGCCUACCAAGGCGACGAUGGUUAGCUGGUCUGAGAGGAUGAUCAGCCACACUGGAACUGAGACACGGUCCAGACUCCUACGGGAGGCAGCAGUGAGGAAUCUUGCGCAAUGGGGGAAACCCUGACGCAGCAACGCCGCGUGAGUGAGGAAGGUCUUCGGAUCGUAAAGCUCUGUCGGUGGAAAGAAAUGUAUGGGGUUAAUAGCCUUCAUACUUGACGGUACCACCAAAGGAAGCAACCGGCUAACUCCG
rnacentral:rRNA from 1 species